GGGCAAUUCAACGGUGCUGGAACUUUUGACAUUACACGUUAUGAUUUGAUUUUUUUCCCUAUAUAUUCACAGAGACAUUACUAUUUGGUGUGCUUCUCAUUGAAGACUGGGGUUGCGGAUGUUCUAGACCAUGUUGUGCCCGAGAACGGUACUCCAGAUCGGGCCAAAUAUGGGAUUGACCUGGACCUGCUUAGGGAUUGUCUUGCUUUUUAUCUCAAGUCAAAGGGAUUCAACAAACUGG